rnacentral:rRNA from 1 species
GCGCGAAAACUCUGCAAUGUGGGAAACCACGACAGGGGAACUCCCAGUGCCAGCACUAUGUGCUGGCUGUUUUCCUGCCUAAAAAGCAGGGAGAGUAAGGGCUGGGUAAGACGGGUGCCAGCCGCCGCGGUAAUACCCGCAGCCCGAGUGGUGCUCAUUGUUAUUGGGCCUAAAACGUCCGUAGCCGGCUUGGUAAAUGCCUGGGUAAAUCGGGCAGCUUAACUGUUCGAAUUCCGGGUAGACUGCCAGGCUCGAGAUCGGGAGAGCCUCGAGGUACUCCUGGGGUAGAGGUGAAAUUCUGUAAUCCUAGGGGGACCACCGGUGGCGAAGGCGUCGAGGUAGAACGAUUCUGACGGUGAGGGACGAAGGCUAGGGGCGCAAACGGG